UGGGGAAUAUUGGACAAUGGACCAAAAGUCUGAUCCAGCAAUUCUGUGUGCACGAUGACGUUUUUCGGAAUGUAAAGUGCUUUCAGUUGGGAAGAAAAAAUGACGGUACCAACAGAAGAAGUGACGGCUAAAUACGUGCCAGCAGCCGCGGUAAUACGUAUGUCACAAGCGUUAUCCGGAUUUAUUGGGCGUAAAGCGCGUCUAGGUGGUUAUGUAAGUCUGAUGUGAAAAUGCAGGGCUCAACUCUGUAUUGCGUUGGAAACUGCAUGACUAGAGUACUGGAGAGGUAAGCGGAACUACAAGUGUAGAGGUGAAAUUCGUAGAUAUUUGUAGGAAUGCCGAUGGGGAAGCCAGCUUACUGGACAGAUACUGACGCUAAAGCGCGAAAGCGUGGGUAGCAAACAGGAUUAGAUACCCUGGUAGUCCACGCCGUAAACGAUGAUUACUAGGUGUUGGGGGUCGAACCUCAGCGCCCAAGCUAACGCGAUAAGUAAUCCGCCUGGGGAGUACGUACGCAAGUAUG
rnacentral:rRNA from 1 species